UGGGGAAUAUUGCACAAUGGGCGAAAGCCUGAUGCAGCAACGCCGCGUGAGUGAAGAAGUAUCUCGGUAUGUAAAGCUCUAUCAACAGGGACGAAGAAAGUGACGGUACCUGAAUAAGAAGCCCCGGCUAACUACGUGCCAGCAGCCGCGGUAAUACGUAGGGGGCAAGCGUUAUCCGGAAUUACUGGGUGUAAAGGGAGCGUAGGCGGCACGCCAAGCCAGAUGUGAAAGCCCGAGGCUUAACCUCGCGGAUUGCAUUUGGAACUGGCGAGCUAGAGUACAGGAGAGGAAAGCGGAAUUCCUAGUGUAGCGGUGAAAUGCGUAGAUAUUAGGAAGAACACCAGUGGCGAAGGCGGCUUUCUGGACUGAAACUGACGCUGAGGCUCGAAAGCGUGGGGAGCAAACAGGAUUAGAUACCCUGGUAGUCCACGCCGUAAACGAUGAGUGCUAGGUGUCGGGGAGGAAUCCUCGGUGCCGCAGCUAACGCAAUAAGCACUCCACCUGGGGAGUACGACCGCAAGGUUGAAACUCAAAGGAAUUGACGGGGGCCCGCACAAGCGGUGGAGCAUGUGGUUUAAUUCGAAGCAACGCGAAGAACCUUACCAAGGCUUGACAUCCCGAUGACCGCUCUAGAGAUAGAGUUUCUCUUCGGAGCAUCGGUGACAGGUGGUGCAUGGUUGUCGUCAGCUCGUGUCGUGAGAUGUUGGGUUAAGUCCCGCAACGAGCGCAACCCUUAUCCUUAGUAGCCAUCAUUGAGUUGGGCACUCUAGGGAGACUGCCGUGGAUAACACGGAGGAAGGUGGGGAUGACGUCAAAUCAUCAUGCCCCUUAUGUCUUGGGCUACACACGUGCUACAAUGGCUGGUAACAGAGUGAAGCGAGACGGCGACGUUAAGCAAAUCACAAAAACCCAGUCCCAGUUCGGAUUGUAGUCUGCAACUCGACUACAUGAAGCUGGAAUCGCUAGUAAUCGCGAAUCAGAAUGUCGCGGUGAAUACGUUCCC
rnacentral:rRNA from 1 species